rnacentral:lncRNA from 1 species
CGUUUGCUUAAUUCGUUUUUGUGUCUCAUUCAAUCAUGUUUGCUUAAUCCAUGAAAACUUAUCCCGUUUGCUUAAUUCAGACAAUAGGAUCAUACAUCACACAAACUUCACCGCGCUUGUCAUUGAGUUUGUACCCAAAUAGGAAUAGACAAUCCGCUUAGGGUAUUAAAAUUAUAUUAAUCGAUGAUAGUAUGAACUGAAUAAGUAGAUUGAAUUAUUUCAUAAUCACUUAUUUCAUAACAACUUAUUUCAAGAAUUGCUUUUAAUAAUCACUUUUUCUUAAUUGAACACCAAACCAAACAACCCCCCC